rnacentral:rRNA from 1 species
CCUACGGGAGGCAGCAGUGGGGAAUAUUGCACAAUGGGGGAAACUCUGAUGCAGCAACGCCGCGUGAGUGAAGAAGUAUUUCGGUAUGUAAAGCUCUAUCAGCAGGGAAGAGAAUGACGGUACCUGACUAAGAAGACCCGGCUAACUACGUGCCAGCAGCCGCGGUAAUACGUAGGGGGCGAGCGUUAUCCGGAUUUACUGGGUGUAAAGGGAGCGUAGACGGUUCUGGAAGUCUGAAGUGAAAGCCCGUGGCUUAACCGCGGAACGGCUUUGGAAACUGUAUGGCUGGAGUGCAGGAGAGGUAAGCGGAAUUCCUAGUGUAGCGGUGAAAUGCGUAGAUAUUAGGAGGAACACCAGUGGCGAAGGCGGCUGACUGGACUGUAACUGACGUUGAGGCUCGAAAGCGUGGGGAGCAAACAGGAUUAGAUACCCGGGUAGUC